rnacentral:rRNA from 1 species
GACGUAGGGCGCGAGCGUUGUCCGGAUUUAUUGGGCGUAAAGAGCUCGUAGGCGGUUUGUCGCGUCUGCUGUGAAAACUGGAGGCUCAACCUCCAGCCUGCAGUGGGUACGGGCAGACUAGAGUGCGGUAGGGGAGAUUGGAAUUCCUGGUGUAGCGGUGGAAUGCGCAGAGUAUCAGGAGGACACCGAGUGGCGAAGGCAGAUCUCUGGGCCGUAACUGACGCUGGAGGAGCGAAAGCAUGGGGAGCGAACAGG